GAUGAACGCUGGCGGCGUGCUUAACACAUGCAAGUCGAACGAAGCAUUUGCGACAGAUUUCUUCGGAUUGAAGUCGCUUAUGACUGAGUGGCGGACGGGUGAGUAACGCGUGGGUAACCUGCCUCAUACAGGGGGAUAGCAGCUGGAAACGGCUGGUAAUACCGCAUAAGCGCACAGUACCACAUGGUACAGUGUGAAAAACUCCGGUGGUAUGAGAUGGACCCGCGUCUGAUUAGCUGGUUGGCGGGGUAACGGCCCACCAAGGCGACGAUCAGUAGCCGACCUGAGAGGGUGACCGGCCACAUUGGGACUGAGACACGGCCCAGACUCCUACGGGAGGCAGCAGUGGGGAAUAUUGCACAAUGGAGGAAACUCUGAUGCAGCGACGCCGCGUGAGUGAAGAAGUAGUUCGCUAUGUAAAGCUCUAUCAGCAGGGAAGAUAGUGACGGUACCUGACUAAGAAGCUCCGGCUAAAUACGUG
rnacentral:rRNA from 1 species